rnacentral:rRNA from 1 species
UGAGGAAUAUUGGUCAAUGGGCGCAAGCCUGAACCAGCCAUCCCGCGUGCAGGAAGACGGCGCUAUGCGUUGUAAACUGCUUUUCCAGGGGGAGAAACUUGCGCACGUGUUGCGCAAUUGACGGUACCCUGGGAAUAAGCAUCGGCUAACUCCGUGCCAGCAGCCGCGGUAAUACGGAGGAUGCGAGCGUUAUCCGGAUUCAUUGGGUUUAAAGGGUGCGUAGGCGGACUAUUAAGUCAGUGGUGAAAUCCUGCAGCUUAACUGCAGAACUGCCAUUGAUACUGAUAGCCUUGAGUUUGGUUAAGGUAGGCGGAAUGUGUAAUGUAGCGGUGAAAUGCUUAGAUAUUACACAGAACACCAAUUGCGUAGGCAGCUUACUGAGCCGACACUGACGCUGAGGCACGAAAGCGUGGGGAUCGAA